AGGGGUAUAGUUUCUUCGGAAACUAGAGACCGGCGCACGGGUGCGUAACGCGUAUGCAAUCUACCUUUUACAGAGGGAUAGCCCAGAGAAAUUUGGAUUAAUACCUCAUAGUAUGUGAGAAUCGCAUGGUUUUCACAUUAAAGUUCCAACGGUAAAAGAUGAGCAUGCGUCCCAUUAGCUAGAUGGUAAGGUAACGGCUUACCAUGGCGACGAUGGGUAGGGGUCCUGAGAGGGAGAUCCCCCACACUGGUACUGAGACACGGACCAGACUCCUACGGGAGGCAGCAGUGAGGAAUAUUGGACAAUGGGCGCAAGCCUGAUCCAGCCAUGCCGCGUGCAGGAUGACGGUCCUAUGGAUUGUAAACUGCUUUUGUACAGGAAGAAACACUCCCUCGUGAGGGAGCUUGACGGUACUGUAAGAAUAAGGAUCGGCUAACUCCGUGCCAGCAGCCGCGGUAAUACGGAGGAUCCAAGCGUUAUCCGGAAUCAUUGGGUUUAAAGGGUCCGUAGGCGGUUUAAUAAGUCAGUGGUGAAAGCCCAUCGCUCAACGGUGGAACGGCCAUUGAUACUGUUAAACUUGAAUUAUUAGGAAGUAACU
rnacentral:rRNA from 1 species